GACGAACGCUGGCGGCGUGCUUAACACAUGCAAGUCGAACGGAAAGGCCCUGCUUUUGUGGGGUGCUCGAGUGGCGAACGGGUGAGUAACACGUGAGUAACCUGCCCUUGACUUUGGGAUAACUUCAGGAAACUGGGGCUAAUACCGGAUAGGAGCUCCUGCUGCAUGGUGGGGGUUGGAAAGUUUCGGCGGUUGGGGAUGGACUCGCGGCUUAUCAGCUUGUUGGUGGGGUAGUGGCUUACCAAGGCUUUGACGGGUAGCCGGCCUGAGAGGGUGACCGGCCACAUUGGGACUGAGAUACGGCCCAGACUCCUACGGGAGGCAGCAGUGGGGAAUAUUGCACAAUGGGCGGAAGCAUGAUGCAGCAACGCCGCGUGCGGGAUAACGGCCUUCGGGUUGUAAACCGCUUUCGCCUGUGACGAAGCGUGAGUGACGGUAAUGGGUAAAGAAGCACCGGCUAACUACGUG
rnacentral:rRNA from 1 species